rnacentral:rRNA from 1 species
GAUGAACGCUGGCGGCGUGCCUAACACAUGCAAGUCGAGCGAACAGACGAGUACUUUGCUCCUCUGACGUUAGCCGCGGGCGGGUGAGUAACAUGUGGAUAACCUACCUAUAAGACUGGAAUAACUUCGGGAAACCAUUGCUAAUACCGGAGAAUAUAUUGAAACAGAGGGUUCAAUAGGGAAAUACGGUUUUGCUGUCAGCUGUUGAUGGAUCCGCGCCUUAUUAGCUAGUUGGUAGGGUAACGGCCUACCAAGGCAACGAUGAGUAGCCGAGCUGAGAGGGUGAUCGGCCACACUGGGACUGAGACACGGUCCAGACUCCUACGGGAGGCAGCAGUGGGGAAUUUUGGACAAUGGGCGAAAGCUUGACGCAGCAAUGCCGCGUGUGUGAUGAAGGUCUUCGGAUCGUAAAACUCUUUUAUCAGGGAAGAACACCUUUGUAAUAAAACAUUCGCGUCAUGACGGUACCUGAUCAAAAAGCAACGGCUAACUACGUG